rnacentral:rRNA from 1 species
UACGGAGGGUGCGAGCGUUGUUCGGAAUCACUGGGCGUAAAGCGCGUGUAGGCGGCCCACUAAGUCUGAUGUGAAAGCCCGGGGCUCACCCCCGGAAGUGCAUUGGAAACUGGUGGACUCGAGUCCCGGAGAGGUGAGUGGAAUUCCUAGUGUAGAGGUGAAAUUGGUAGAUAUUAGGAAGAACACCAGUGGCGAAGGCGGCUCACUGGCCCGGUACUGACGCUGAGGCGCGAAAGCGUGGGGAGCAAACAGG